AAUGGGGGCAACCCUGACGAAGCAAUGCCGCGUGAAUGAAGAAGGCCUUCGGGUUGUAAAGUUCUUUCGUGGAGGACGAAAAGGUGGGUGCUAAUAUCGCCUGCUGUUGACGUGAAUCCAAGAAGAAGCACCGGCUAACUCCGUGCCAGCAGCCGCGGUAAUACGGGGGGUGCAAGCGUUAAUCGGAAUCACUGGGCGUAAAGGGUGCGUAGGCGGUGCAUUAGGUCUGUCGUGAAAUCCCCGGGCUCAACCUGGGAAUGGCGGUGGAAACCGGUGUACUAGAGUAUGGGAGAGGGUGGUGGAAUUCCAGGUGUAGCGGUGAAAUGCGUAGAGAUCUGGAGGAACAUCAGUGGCGAAGGCGGCCACCUGGCCCAAUACUGACGCUGAGGCACGAAAGCGUGGGGAGCAAACAGGAUUAGAUACCCUGGUAGUCCACGCCCUAAACGAUGAAUACUAGAUGUUUGGUGCCAAGCGUACUGAGUGUCGUAGCUAACGCGAUAAGUAUUCCGCCU
rnacentral:rRNA from 1 species